rnacentral:rRNA from 1 species
CCUACGUGUGGCAGCAGUGAGGAAUAUUGGACAAUGGACGAGAGUCUGAACCAGCCAAGUAGCGUGAAGGAUGACUGCCCUAUGGGUUGUAAACUUCUUUUAUAUGGGAAUAAAAUGUUCCACGUGUGGGAUUUUGUAUGUACCAUAUGAAUAAGGAUCGGCUAACUCCGUGCCAGCAGCCGCGGUAAUACGGAGGAUCCGAGCGUUAUCCGGAUUUAUUGGGUUUAAAGGGCACGUAGGUGGAUUGUUAAGUCAGUUGUGAAAGUUUGCGGCUCAACCGUAAAAUUGCAGUUGAAACUGGCAGUAUUGAGUACAGUAGAGGUGGGCGGAAUUCGUGGUGUAGCGGUGAAAUGCUUAGAUAUCACGAAGAACUCCGAUUGCGAAGGCAGCUCACUGGACUGCAACUGACACUGAGGCUCGAAAGUGUGGGUAUCAAACAGGAUUAGAUACCCCUGUAGUC